rnacentral:rRNA from 1 species
GGGUGACAGCCCCGUACACAAAAAUGCACAUAUUGUGAGCUCGAUGAGUAGGGCGGGACACGUGGUAUCCUGUCUGAAUAUGGGGGGACCAUCCUCCAAGGCUAAAUACUCCUGACUGACCGAUAGUGAACCAGUACCGUGAGGGAAAGGCGAAAAGAACCCCGGCGAGGGGAGUGAAAAAGAACCUGAAACCGUGUACGUACAAGCAGUGGGAGCACGCUUAGGCGUGUGACUGCGUACCUUUUGUAUAAUGGGUCAGCGACUUAUAUUCUGUAGCAAGGUUAACCGAAUAGGGGAGCCGAAGGGAAACCGAGUCUUAACUGGGCGUUAAGUUGCAGGGUAUAGACCCGAAACCCGGUGAUCUAGCCAUGGGCAGGUUGAAGGUUGGGUAACACUAACUGGAGGACCGAACCGACUAAUGUUGAAAAAUUAGCGGAUGACUUGUGGCUGGGGGUGAAAGGCCAAUCAAACCGGGAGAUAGCUGGUUCUCCCCGAAAGCUAUUUAGGUAGCGCCUCGUGAAUUCAUCUCCGGGGGUAGAGCACUGUUUCGGCAAGGGGGUCAUCCCGACUUACCAACCCGAUGCAAACUGCGAAUACCGGAGAAUGUUAUCACGGGAGACACACGGCGGGUGCUAACGUCCGUCGUGAAGAGGGAAACAACCCAGACCGCCAGCUAAGGUCCCAAAGUCAUGGUUAAGUGGGAAACGAUGUGGGAAGGCCCAGACAGCCAGGAUGUUGGCUUAGAAGCAGCCAUCAUUUAAAGAAAGCGUAAUAGCUCACUGGUCGAGUCGGCCUGCGCGGAAGAUGUAACGGGGCUAAACCAUGCACCGAAGCUGCGGCAGCGACACUAUGUGUUGUUGGGUAGGGGAGCGUUCUGUAAGCCUGUGAAGGUGUGCUGUGAGGCAUGCUGGAGGUAUCAGAAGUGCGAAUGCUGACAUAAGUAACGAUAAAGCGGGUGAAAAGCCCGCUCGCCGGAAGACCAAGGGUUCCUGUCCAACGUUAAU